rnacentral:rRNA from 1 species
GCUUGACUGUAUCUUGGAAUUGGGUUCGGGCUUUUCUUGCGCAGACUAGGUGGGAGGCUAUGAAGAUUUUCUUCUGGGAAAGUUGGAGCCAACAGUGAGAGACCACUCUGGAAAGGCUAGAAUCCUAAUGGUGAUCCUUGAAUCAGGACACUUGACAGUUUCAGGUGGGCAGUUUUUCUGGGGCGGAAGCCUCAUAAAAGGUAACUGAGGCGCGCAAAGGUCCCCUCAGUCUGGACGGAAAUCAGACAUUGAGUGUAAAGGCUAAAAGGGGGCUUGACUGCAAGACCCACAAGUCGAGCAGGGGCGAAAGCUGGCCUUAGUGAUCCGACGGUGCCGUGUGGAAGGGCCGUCGCUCAACGAAUAAAAGUUA